rnacentral:rRNA from 1 species
UGGGGAAUAUUGCACAAUGGGCGCAAGCCUGAUGCAGCAACGCCGCGUGAACGAUGAAGGUCUUCGGAUCGUAAAGUUCUGUUGCAGGGGAAGAUAAUGACGGUACCCUGUGAGGAAGCCCCGGCUAACUACGUGCCAGCAGCCGCGGUAAUACGGAAGGUUCGGGCGUUAUCCGGAUUUAUUGGGUUUAAAGGGAGCGUAGGCCGUUUGGUAAGCGUGUUGUGAAAUGUAGGAGCUCAACUUCUAGAUUGCAGCGCGAACUGUCAGACUUGAGUGCGCACAACGUAGGCGGAAUUCAUGGUGUAGCGGUGAAAUGCUUAGAUAUCAUGAAGAACUCCGAUUGCGAAGGCAGCUUACGGGAGCGCAACUGACGCUGAAGCUCGAAGGUGCGGGUAUCGAACAGG